rnacentral:rRNA from 1 species
CACGUAGGGUGCGAGCGUUGUCCGGAAUUAUUGGGCGUAAAGAGCUCGUAGGCGGUCUGUCACGUCGGCUGUGAAAACCCGAGGCUCAACCUCGGGCCUGCAGUCGAUACGGGCAAACUAGAGUACUGCAGGGGAGACUGGAAUUCCUGGUGUAGCGGUGGAAUGCGCAGAUAUCAGGAGGAACACCAACGGCGAAGGCAGCUCGCUGGGACGGUACUGACGCUGAGGCGCGAAAGCGUGGGGAGCGAACAGG